rnacentral:tRNA from 1 species
GGUGGGGUACCGAAGUGGCCAACCGGGACAGACUGUAAAUCUGUUGUCAAUCGACUUCGUAGGUUCGAAUCCUACCCCCACCA